GAUGACGCUAGUUACAGGCUUAACACAUGCAAGUCGCGGGCAGCAUGGGGGUUGCUUGCAAUCCCCGAUGGCGACCGGCGCACGGGUGAGUAACGCGUAUCCAACUGCCUUCACCACGGGAUAACCCGGCGAAAGUCGGACUAAUACCGUAUGUUGUCCAUUGACGGCAUCCGAUUUGGACGAAAGGCUUGCCGGUGAGGGAUGGGAUGCGUCCGAUUAGCCAGACGGCGGGGUAACGGCCCACCGUGGCUACGAUCGGUAGGGGUUCUGAGAGGAAGGUCCCCCACACUGGAAUGAGACACGGUCCAGACUCUACGGGAGGCAGCAGUGAGGAAUAUUGGUCAAUGGGCGUAAGCCUGAACCAGCCAAGUAGCGUGCAGGAUGACGGCCCUAUGGGUUGUAACUGCUUUUAUGCGGGGAUAAAGUGGCCCACGUGUGGGUUUUUGCAGGUACCGAAAUAAGGACGGCUAUC
rnacentral:rRNA from 1 species